GGAGCCCCGCCCCGAAGCACAGGGUCGAGUCCCUUCUUUCCGCUCCAACGCACGGAGGGUGAGGUCGGUACGCGGUGGUGGCGUCACGGCGCCAGCUCCUCCCGACGCCGAGACCAUGGGGGCUCAGCUAAGCGGCGGCCGCGGCGCCCCGGAGCCUGCGCAAACCCAGCCCCAGCCCCAGCCCCAGCCUGCGGCGCCGGAGGGCCCGGAACAGCCCCGGCAUCCGCCCCAGCCCCAGCCCCAGCCCCAGCCCCAGCCCCAGCCCGAGCCCAGCCCGUGGGGGCCGCUGGACGACGUGCGCUUCCUCAUCGCCUGCACUUCCUGGUACUGACGGCGUCCUCCGCAGGAUGUCGCCCGUCUGUCCGCCGUCCCCUGUGGUUCUUGCCUGCCUUGUCUCCUCUCCCCACGUCCCUGCGUCUCUUACACCCCCUCCCACCCGAGGCUCCCCAGAGAUAGCAGAGAAUUCGAAGAGGUCGCCGGGGACUGGAAAGAAGUCCCGGCAGGGCCGCCUUCGCAGUCUACACCCCAGCCUGCUUCCCAGCCUACACCCAGACCCAGCUCAGACCUUCGUGACCACCCCAUCCCUUUCUCCGGCUGGCUGGGUCGGGGGCAUCCCUCUCUGUCGCUGGCUUCCAGAGGCAGGACAGGCCUCCUGGUAAGCCCGCAAAGUUGCUGACCUCCUGACUUCGUCUGCCUUUUAUUAAUAUCUGUAUUGCUGAUAACCGUGCUCUUGACUAUGUGUCCCAGGUCAUGUCCCAGGUCAUGGAGAAGCCCGUGCCACAGUGACCCUCCCCAUACUCCUGGGGGGGCUGCUCUCCAUCCUGGAUCGUAAGGAGGCAUCAUCAGGCUGUGUUCCUGGAACCCCAAUAACCCUGGGCCCCCAGGGCCAGCCUGUUGUAGAGGGAGGCUAUCUGACCGCCGGUCUGGCAGAGGAGAUGGGUGGGCAGCUCCCAGACACCCCAAAGGACCCGGUUCUCUUCCCAGAGCGUCCUAAGGUUACUCUUGGAACCUGAUCUUUGUUCCCUCAUCCCAGGGAAAUGACACACUCUGUAUUUCUGUUUUAUUUAGAAAUGAUUUAAAAAACAUUAUACAAAGGCUGAUCAGUUUAAAAUGUGACUGACACUGAAAUGCUGUGAUGUCCCCCAGGCUGAGGGGAAGCUAGGCUCUGGGGCCCCCAGUGCUUUGCCCCUCUGUCUGCCCUGUCCUGGGGUGAUGGACAAACAGAUGACCACAGGCAGGAGAAUCUGAGAUUGGAAGCCUCUAGGCUGAGCCCUCUGGGCCUGGCCCCACAUCCCUCACCUCUGCAGCCUGGGCUGCCUGCCUCCAUCUCCUGUUCAUUCUCAGCUGGCCUGCCAGGAGCCAAUGGGGAGCCUGGCGGGAGGCGGGGGUGCCUAGAGCUUUCAAGAAGUGAGAGCACCAACCUGAGGAGUGGACAGGGACCAGGAAGUGGGGGAAGGGAGGCCAGGAAGAGGUGGAUACAGGAGACACUUCUCAUCUCAUCUCAGACCCUAGAGGGGUCCACAGAUGGGGACACAAGACCCAGCCAGCCCACUGGAUGGCCCGGGCAAGUAACAACCUCUCUGUGCUUCAUCUGAGGGCACGGUGAGAGUUACCGUCGGCCUCCCAGGGCCUAACACGAGUUUCAUGUGAGUGGACAGGUGUGAGCUAAUAAAGUGCUUUGCAAAGUAUAAAACACUGUACAAACCUAUGAA
rnacentral:lncRNA from 1 species